rnacentral:sRNA from 1 species
AAAAAAUCCCGCAAAAUAUUUUUUUUGGCGGGAAAUAGAUUUACAAGAGAUUUUAAAAGGGUUUUAAAAGAUUUACAAGGGAUUUUAAAAUGGUUUUAAAAUAUUUACAAGGAAUUUUAAAAGAAAGAUUUACAAGGGAUUUUAAAAGGGUUUUAAAAGAUUUACAAGGAAUUUUAAAGGGCUUUAAAAGAUUUACAAAAGUUUUUUAAAGAUUUUUAAAGGUUUAAAAUUGUUUUAAAAGGAUUUUAAAAUAUUUACAAGAGAUUUUAAAAGGGUUUUAAAAUAUUUACAAGGGAUUUUAAAGGGCUUUAAAAGAUUGUUAAAGAGUUUAAAAGUAUUUUGAAUGAUUUACAAGGGAUUUCAAAAGAGUUUUAAAAGAUUUAUAAGAGAUUUUUAAAGGGUUUAAAUGGAGUUAAAAGGAUGUACAAGGGUUUUUAAAAGUUUUUUAAAAAAUUUACAAGAAGACCCUUUAAAAACUCUUGUAAAUCUUUUUAAAACCUUUUAAAAUUCCUUGUAAAUCUUUUAAAACCCUUUUAAAAUUGCUUGUAAAACCCUUUUAAAACCCUUUUAAAAUUUCUUGUAAAUCUAUUUCUUUCCAAAAAAAUUUACAAGGAUUUUUAAAAGUAUUUUUUUGGUUGAGAAAAAAUUUGCCGGGAAAAAAGUUUGGCGGAAAUUUUGUUCGGUGGAAAAAUUUCAGUUUCCAAUUACAUGUUCUUAUUAGAUGAGGAUAAUUUGGUCAUUUUAAAAAUAGACAACAUAAAAGAGUAUUGUUGAAAAAGGAUAGUAAAAAAAGGUAGUUUUGCAAAUCUCCCAAAAAAUAAUAUCUAGAAUUUUUUUUGAUUGUUAUGUAUUAUUAAAAUAUUUUUAAUUGUUAAUUUUAAUAAUAAAAAUAAAAAUAAUUAUUGAGUGCUAAUUUUGUCUAA